GAACUUGUUUCAAGUAUUUCUUUUUUUAAGAAAGAAAAAAAGAGGAGACUAUAUCCUUUGUUUGGCGGCAAAAAAGUGCACUAAAUAGCAACACCACCAGUGGGGAGGGCAAUUUCCCAAUUUUAGGUGUUAACACGGAGAAAAAUAAUACGACUCUUCUUUUUUUAUCGCCCCUUGACCUCCACGAAGUAGAAGGUUCCCCUCACACCGCCUGCAAAGGCUGCCGGGAUCUAAAUUCCUCCUCGGCAACCUGAGGACGGGAAUAGGGGAAUUCUGCACGACACAAGACAUUUACACUGGCCAAGCACAGCAAGGCCCGUUAAGCCGUUCCCAGACCGCUUCCAUCCUGCUGUGCCCAGUCUCUGCUCAACACCAGGCUGAGCCCGUGCUCCUGGAACACCCAAAACUCCAAGUCUGAAACGUCAGCCUUUCUGCACAGUAUUUAUUUAUACACAAAACCAGUGCGUUUUGAUCACAUACAAGUUUUGAUCCUGCAAACUCAGAUUUAUAUAGUUUUAUUUUUUACAAAAAAUACAUUUUAACAAGUAAAUAAAAGCCAUUUCCAUUA